UCCCUGGAGGACUAUUGGUUAGGCCACGGCACACUCGCUGCCGUAGCCUGGGUUCGAUUCCCAGCCAAGGAA